GAUGAACGCUAGCUACAGGCUUAACACAUGCAAGUCGAGGGGCAGCACGGAGAUAGCUUGCUAUCUUGGGUGGCGACCGGCGCACGGGUGAGUAACGCGUAUCCAACCUGCCCAUUACUCUGGGAUAGCCUUGCGAAAGUAAGAUUAAUACCGGAUGUUGUUAAAAACCCGCAUGAGUUUUUAACCAGAGAUUUAUUGGUAAUGGAUGGGGAUGCGUGACAUUAGGUAGUUGGUGAGGUAACGGCUCACCAAGCCUACGAUGUCUAGGGGUUCUGAGAGAAAGGUCCCCCCCACUGGAACUGAGACACGGUCCAGACUCCUACGGGAGGCAGCAGUGAGGAAUAUUGGUCAAUGGACGAGAGUCUGAACCAGCCAAGUAGCGUGCAGGACGACGGCCCUCUGGGUUGUAAACUGCUUUUAGUUGGGAAUAAAAAGAGGGACGUGUCCCUAAUUGUAUGUACCAUCAGAAAAAGGACCGGCUAAUUCCGUGCCAGCAGCCGCCGUAAUAC
rnacentral:rRNA from 1 species